rnacentral:sRNA from 1 species
CCUUCCGACCUCGAUCUAUAAGAGGAAGGGGGUGAGUUUUAUGAACUUUAUAAUCUCUUUUACACUGUCCGUCGCAGCGGGUGUAGUCAGCUAUUACAUCUGCAAGUGGCUUGACGACCAGUUCAAGGCCGGUAAGCACUAAUCCUUAGCAAGCAGGAAGCCCCCUCGGUAUUCGCACUACCGCGGGGGCUUCUUGUUGCUAC